UUAUAAAGAAAUGUUUAACAAUAUUUAUAUAUUUUCAGUUGAAUUGACAUCUUAUUGCACUCUGAGUAUUAAAAAUAUCUAGAAAUCUUGAUUGUGUUAAUUGAAUUUUCAGAUUCUAGAUACAAUAAAAUCAUAUCAAAUCCUCUAUACAAAAUUUUCAAUCUUGCAUUGCCUUUUUGUCAUACUCAUUGUAACUUAGAAUGUAGCGAAAUAGGAAUACCACUGAUGUUUCUCUGUUCUUGCAAAGAAACAAGAUUUCUGCUUCACCCUACUCUGUCACCUUCCUCAAAAUCCUUCCAUGGCUGACUAUUAGAAAGGUCAUAAAUUCUGUGGGCAUUCUUGGAUGAAUAACCCGAUGAUAACAACUAUUCUCUAUACAAGACUACUUCAGGGGUUUGAAGUAGAAACAAGCUAUUUUUUUAGAUGUUAAACAUGGCAUUUACAAUAUAAAAUAAAGCAAGAAGAACAAGACGGUGAAGAUAAGAGAAGAAAGUUCACAAAUGUAAAUGAUUUCACUAAGAUAUUUAAUGGCUCAUCUCAUUGCAUAGCUUAUUUUACUAUGCAAUUAAAAAAUGAAAUAUCAGUGAGAAUGAAAGACUACACCUAUUUAUAAUCAAUAGUUUCUUGUUUUAUUAUAUUA